rnacentral:rRNA from 1 species
UAGGGAAUCUUCCGCAAUGGGCGAAAGCCUGACGGAGCAACGCCGCGUGAGUGAUGAAGGUCUUCGGAUCGUAAAACUCUGUUAUUAGGGAAGAACAAAUGUGUAAGUAACUAUGCACGUCUUGACGGUACCUAAUCAGAAAGCCACGGCUAACUACGUGCCAGCAGCCGCGGUAAUACGUAGGUGGCAAGCGUUAUCCGGAAUUAUUGGGCGUAAAGCGCGCGUAGGCGGUUUUUUAAGUCUGAUGUGAAAGCCCACGGCUCAACCGUUGAGGGUCAUUGGAAACUGGAAAACUUGAGUGCAGAAGAGGAAAGUGGAAUUCCAUGUGUAGCGGUGAAAUGCGCAGAGAUAUGGAGGAACACCAGUGGCGAAGGCGACUUUCUGGUCUGUAACUGACGCUGAUGUGCGAAAGCGGGGGGAUCAAACAGG